rnacentral:rRNA from 1 species
CAGUAGCCGCGGGAAUACGUAGGGUGCAAGCGUUAAUCGGAAUUACUGGGCGUAAAGCGUGCGCAGGCGGUUAUAUAAGACAGAUGCGAAAUCCCCGGGCUCAACCUGGGAACUGCAUUUGUGACUGUAUAGCUAGAGUACGGCAGAGGGGGAUGGAAUUCCGCGUGUAGCAGUGAAAUGCGUAGAUAUGCGGAGGAACACCGAUGGCGAAGGCAAUCCCCUGGGCCUGUACUGACGCUCAUGCACGAAAGCGUGGGGAGCAAACAGGAUUAGAUACCCCCGUAGUCCCUGUCUCUUAUAC